UACGAAGGGUGCAAGCGUUACUCGGAAUUACUGGGCGUAAAGAGCUCGUAGGCGGUUUGUCGCGUCUGCUGUGAAAACCCGAGGCUCAACCUCGGGCCUGCAGUGGGUACGGGCAGACUAGAGUGCGGUAGGGGGAGAUUGGAAUUCCUGGUGUAGCGGUGGAAUGCGCAGAUAUCAGGAGGAACACCAAUGGCGAAGGCAGAUCUCUGGGCCGUAACUGACGCUGAGGAGCGAAAGCAUGGGGAGCGAACAGG
rnacentral:rRNA from 1 species